UUGAAUCUAGAAUAUAAGCUUAUGAUGCGUAAUUCAACCUGGUCAAGAUAACCCUUAUACUUCAUGAGGUGUGAAGAAGCUUGUUCUUGGAUCAAACCGAAUUACAUGUUGUAGGCAAGAGAUCUAGAUUGAACCAUAAUUUGACCCUCACAUUGAUUGACUUAAUUCUCAGUAAAAUUUGAACCUUUGUGGUCAUUGAUGACAAAGGGGGAGAGAAACAAAGAUAUAGUCAAAAAGGGGGAGAGAAACAAAAAAAAGGAGAAAAAACUUUUUAAACUUGAGCACACAUAUAGGGGG
rnacentral:lncRNA from 1 species